CAUGCAAGUCGAGCGGUACCGAAGGGAGCUUGCUCUCUUAGUUCAGCGUGCGGACAGGUGUGAAACACGUGGGGAACCUGCCUGUAAGACUGGGAUAACUCCGGGAAACCGGGGCUAAUACCGGAUGCUUGAUUGAACCGCAUGGUUCAAUAAUUUAAGGUGGCUUUUAGCUUCCACUUACCGAUGGACCCGCGGCGCAUUAUCUAGUUGGUGAGGUAACGGCUCACCAAGGCGACCAUGCGUAACCGACCUGAGAGGGUGAUCGGCCACACUGGGACUGAAAACGGCCCAGACUCCUACGGGAGGCAACAGUGGGAAUCUUCCGCAAUGGACAAAAGUCUGACGGAGCAACGCCACGUGAGUGAUGAAGGUUUUCGGAUCGUAAAACUCUGUUGUUAGGGAAGAACAAAUACCGUUCGAAUAGGGCGGUUCCUUGACGGUACCUAACCAGAAAGCCACGGGUAACUACGUGCCAGCAUCCGCGGUAAUACGUAGGUGGCAAGCGUUGUCCGGAAUUAUUGGGCGUAAAGCGCGCUGCAGGCGGUUUCUUAAGUCUGAUGUGAAAGCCCCCGGCUCAACCGGGGAGGGUCAUUGGAAACUGGGGAGACUUGAGUGCAGAAGAAUGACAGUGGAAUUCCACGAAAUGCGGUGAAAUGCGUAGAGAUGUGGAGGAACACCGCGGGCGAAGGCGACUCUCUGAUCUGUAACUGACGCUGAGGCGCGAAAGCGUGGGGAGCGAACAGGAUUAGAUACCCUGGUAGUCCACGCCGUAAACGAUGAGUUGCUAAGUGUUAGAGGGUUUCCGCCGUUUAGUGCUGCAGCAAACGCAUUAAUCACUCUCGCCUGGGGAGUACGGUCGCAAGACUGAAACUCAAAGGAAUUGACGGGGGCCCGCAACAAGCGGUGGAGCAUCGUGGUUUAAUUGGAAGCAACCGGGAAGACCUCUUACCACGGUCUUGACAUCCCUCUGACAACCCUAGAGCAUAGGGCUUCCCCUUACGGGGGCAGAGUGACAGGUGGCUGCAUGGUUUGUUCGUCAGCUCGUGGUCGUGAGAUGUUGGGUUAAGUCCCGCAACGAGCGCAACCCUUGAUUUUAGUUCCCAGCAUUCAGUUGGGCACUCUAAGGUGACUGCCGGUGACAAACCGGAGGAAGGUGGGGAUGACGUCAAAUCAUCAUGCCCCUUAUGACCUGGGCUACACACGUGCUACAAUGGGCAGAACAAAGGGCAGCGAACCCGCGAGGCCAAGCCAAUCCCACAAAUUUGUUCUCAGUUCGGAUCGCAGUCUGCAACUCGACUGCGUGAAGCUGGAAUCGCUAGUAAUCGCGGAUCAGCAUGCCGCGGUGAAUACGUUCCCGGGCCUUGUACACACCGCCCGUCACCCCCCGAGAGUUUGUAACACCCGAAGUCGGUGAGGUAACCUUCGAACCAGCCGCCGAACGUGACUGU
rnacentral:rRNA from 1 species